rnacentral:lncRNA from 1 species
AAUGAUUUUUCUGCUCCUUAAGUGAUAUUUUAAGAGACUAUUGUUACUGAGGAAGCAGCCUCCUGUAGAUCUGGAAGCAGCCAGUAUAAAUCUAACCAUCCACCUACCUAUGUAUUUAGUCCCAGGGAAGAUACAAAGUCUCUCCCUUGUAGGGAUUAUGAAGAAGCAGAUACAAGUGACAAAUCAAAGAACAAGGGACUCCCCAGGAACUGCCA